AUGAGCUACUGGAGUUGCUAUACUUCAUUGCAAUACCAUUUAACUGGAAUUAACCGAUGCAAGUCCAAGAAGGAUUGGCCGGUGCUGCCGGCUGGCGUCAAGUUUGAUCCCACGGAUCAGGAGCUGAUCGAUCACCUUGAGGCCAAAGUGAGUGCUGACAGCAUGAGAUCUCACCCUCUUAUCGAUUUGUUCAUACCAACCAUUGACAACGAGCACGACAUAUGCUACACCCAUCCUGAGAAACUUCCAGGUAUCACACUGAGUGGCCUAAGCAAGCAUUUCUUCCAGCACAACUCCAGGGCGUUCAAAAGGGGCACGCGGACGCGUCGCAAGAUACAGUCGGAGUGCUGCAUGCACGCGAUGUGGCACAGGACUGGCAAUACCUUGCCGGUGAUGGUCAAUGGCAGGCAGACGGGCAGCAAAAAGGUUAUAGUGUUGCACACCAACAAGAAGUUCAACUAG
rnacentral:rRNA from 1 species